GCUCUGAGCUUGUGUUUACUUACUAGGACUCAGCAGUUCAGCUUCUCAAAAUGAGGUUCCCAUCUCAGCUCCUGGGGCUGCUGAUGCUCUGGGUCCCAGGAUCCAGCGGGGAGGUCGUGCUGACUCAGACCCCACUCUUGCUGUCCGUCACCCCCGGAGAUCCGGCCUCCAUAUCCUGCAGGGCCAGUCAGAGCCUUGUACACAGUAAUGGAAACACCUAUCUGCACUGGUACCUGCAGAAGCCAGGCCAGCCCCCACAGCUCCUGAUCUAUAAGGUUUCCAACCGUUUCACUGGAGUCCCAGACAGGUUCAGUGGCAGCGGGUCAGGGACAGAUUUCACCCUGAGAAUCAGCAGGGUGGAGGCUGACGAUGUAGGAGUUUAUUACUGCAGUCAAGAUACACAUUUUCCUCCCACAGUGGUUCAAGCCUGA